CCUCCUUCCGCCUCGGCGGCUUCCUCCCUCCUGAGAGCUCUGUCCGCCAACGGUGCGGCUGCUCAGAGUGACACUGCAAGUAAGCUGGUUGUUACAUAUUUACCGGGACACCGCCGCUCAUCUCCCCUCUCAAUGAUCAGGUGAUGCAAGAGGGAAAAGCCUGAGACGGAUUCACAAAUGGCUCGAUUGGGUUUGUUGGUGAAAGCUGGAAAUGAACAGAGGCUGCACUGCCGCCUCACUCAGCAUGGUCCUGAAAGAUUAGCGGUAAGGAGAUGUCGUCGCACUCAGUCAGCCACUUUGCCUGCGAAGAAAUGAGAACACAGGGAUUCGUGGGCAAUGCCGGAUAGCUUGACCAUCUGGUCAGGGGUCUAGAAGCAGAGAGCUUGGAAGACUGGGGGGACAAUGGUAGACAGUGAGGAUUAGGGUAAAGCCAUGCAGUUGAAGUGGGCACAGAGUGCGAAGACCUUUAUUUCAUAUGCUAAUGCAUAUCAGAGAACAUCCAUCAUAGAAGAGGCACUAAUAAACCACAUAUCAUCCGGUGAUAGACGGGCCCUCUGUCAUCAGCCACUCCAUUGCUUGCUUGAUGGGCAAAUGAAUGAAAUUGUCAUGGUAGCAGGGAUGGAGGCUAUAUGUGGAUGCAACAGCCUGGGUCCCACGUAACAAGGCUGAUCUAACUGUUGCAACAACAGAAUGUCCAACCUUUUCAUAACAGAAACCAGCACUGAAUGCCCAGCAUGAUACAACUUCUCCAAGAGACCGAGCAACCGCUUGAUAACAGGUUAACUACUUUGGAUACCCUGGAAGGGGUAGCCAUUCAUUUUGCGAAGAAUAAACACAUUUUGACAAGAAUAGGUAUGGGUUUGCUUUUUCUAUCCACAGAUCCUCAGCCAGUACCAUUAUCCAUGAGCAUAUGGAAUA